rnacentral:other from 1 species
AUUUCCCUGCGGUGUUCGAGUAACGGUCGUAAUGCUUUUAACCGAUAUAUCAAAUAGGGACAUCAACUCCGUUCUUCACGAUGUCAUGCCUUUAAAUUGGAAGGCUGACCGAAGGCGAGCCGUCCCACCUAGUUUUACUGGGAUUUAAAAGUACACACUGGACGGCACAGGCGGGGAUUUU